UUUCUACUCCCUCCGUCCGAAAAUACUUGUCAUCAAAAUGGAUAAAAAAGAUAUGUAUCUAAAACCAAAAUACGUCUAGAUACAUUUCCUUUUAUCCAUUUUGAUGAAAAGUAUUUCCGGACGGAGGGAGUAUUUG
rfam:Triticum urartu cultivar G1812 contig366052, whole genome shotgun sequence.